rnacentral:rRNA from 1 species
CCUACGGGUCGCAGCAGUGGGGAAUAUUGCACAAUGGGCGCAAGCCUGAUGCAGCCAUGCCGCGUGUAUGAAGAAGGCCUUGGGGUUGUAAGGUACUUUCAGUUGGGAGGAAGGCGUUGAUGCUAAUAUCAUCAACGAUUGACGUUACCAACAGAAGAAGCACCGGCUAACUCCGUGCCAGCAGCCGCGGUAAUACGGAGGGUGCAAGCGUUAAUCGGAAUUACUGGGCGUAAAGCGCACGCAGGCGGUUGAUUAAGUUAGAUGUGAAAUCCCCGGGCUUAACCUGGGAAUGGCAUCUAAGACUGGUCAGCUAGAGUCUUGUAGAGGGGGGGUAGAAUUCCAUGUGUAGCGGUGAAAUGCGUAGUGAUGUGGAGGAAUACCGGUGGCGAGGGCGGCCCCCUGGACAAAGACUGACGCUCAGGUGCGAAAGCGUGGGGAGCAAACAGGAUUAGAUACCCCUGUAGUC